rnacentral:rRNA from 1 species
UUAAGCGACUAAGCGUACACGGUGGAUGCCCUGGCAGUCAGAGGCGAUGAAGGACGUGCUAAUCUGCGAUAAGCGUCGGUAAGGUGAUAUGAACCGUUAUAACCGGCGAUUUCCGAAUGGGGAAACCCAGUGUGUUUCGACACACUAUCAUUAACUGAAUCCAUAGGUUAAUGAGGCGAACCGGGGGAACUGAAACAUCUAAGUACCCCGAGGAAAAGAAAUCAACCGAGAUUCCCCCAGUAGCGGCGAGCGAACGGGGAGCAGCCCAGAGCCUGAAUCAGUGUGUGUGUUAGUGGAAGCGUCUGGAAAGGCGCGCGAUACAGGGUGACAGCCCCGUACACAAAAAUGCACAUGCUGUGAGCUCGAUGAGUAGGGCGGGACACGUGGUAUCCUGUCUGAAUAUGGGGGGACCAUCCUCCAAGGCUAAAUACUCCUGACUGACCGAUAGUGAACCAGUACCGUGAGGGAAAGGCGAAAAGAACCCCGGCGAGGGGAGUGAAAAAGAACCUGAAACCGUGUACGUACAAGCAGUGGGAGCACGCUUAGGCGUGUGACUGCGUACCUUUUGUAUAAUGGGUCAGCGACUUAUAUUCUGUAGCAAGGUUAACCGAAUAGGGGAGCCGAAGGGAAACCGAGUCUUAACUGGGCGUUAAGUUGCAGGGUAUAGACCCGAAACCCGGUGAUCUAGCCAUGGGCAGGUUGAAGGUUGGGUAACACUAACUGGAGGACCGAACCGACUAAUGUUGAAAAAUUAGCGGAUGACUUGUGGCUGGGGGUGAAAGGCCAAUCAAACCGGGAGAUAGCUGGUUCUCCCCGAAAGCUAUUUAGGUAGCGCCUCGUGAAUUCAUCUCCGGGGGUAGAGCACUGUUUCGGCAAGGGGGUCAUCCCGACUUACCAACCCGAUGCAAACUGCGAAUACCGGAGAAUGUUAUCACGGGAGACACACGGCGGGUGCUAACGUCCGUCGUGAAGAGGGAAACAACCCAGACCGCCAGCUAAGGUCCCAAAGUCAUGGUUAAGUGGGAAACGAUGUGGGAAGGCCCAGACAGCCAGGAUGUUGGCUUAGAAGCAGCCAUCAUUUAAAGAAAGCGUAAUAGCUCACUGGUCGAGUCGGCCUGCGCGGAAGAUGUAACGGGGCUAAACCAUGCACCGAAGCUGCGGCAGCGACGCUUAUGCGUUGUUGGGUAGGGGAGCGUUCUGUAAGCCUGUGAAGGUGUGCUGUGAGGCAUGCUGGAGGUAUCAGAAGUGCGAAUGCUGACAUAAGUAACGAUAAAGCGGGUGAAAAGCCCGCUCGCCGGAAGACCAAGGGUUCCUGUCCAACGUUAAUCGGGGCAGGGUGAGUCGACCCCUAAGGCGAGGCCGAAAGGCGUAGUCGAUGGGAAACAGGUUAAUAUUCCUGUACUUGGUGUUACUGCGAAGGGGGGACGGAGAAGGCUAUGUUGGCCGGGCGACGGUUGUCCCGGUUUAAGCGUGUAGGCUGGUUUUCCAGGCAAAUCCGGAAAAUCAAGGCUGAGGCGUGAUGACGAGGCACUACGGUGCUGAAGCAACAAAUGCCCUGCUUCCAGGAAAAGCCUCUAAGCAUCAGGUAACAUCAAAUCGUACCCCAAACCGACACAGGUGGUCAGGUAGAGAAUACCAAGGCGCUUGAGAGAACUCGGGUGAAGGAACUAGGCAAAAUGGUGCCGUAACUUCGGGAGAAGGCACGCUGAUAUGUAGGUGAAGUCCCUCGCGGAUGGAGCUGAAAUCAGUCGAAGAUACCAGCUGGCUGCAACUGUUUAUUAAAAACACAGCACUGUGCAAACACGAAAGUGGACGUAUACGGUGUGACGCCUGCCCGGUGCCGGAAGGUUAAUUGAUGGGGUCAGCGCAAGCGAAGCUCUUGAUCGAAGCCCCGGUAAACGGCGGCCGUAACUAUAACGGUCCUAAGGUAGCGAAAUUCCUUGUCGGGUAAGUUCCGACCUGCACGAAUGGCGUAAUGAUGGCCAGGCUGUCUCCACCCGAGACUCAGUGAAAUUGAACUCGCUGUGAAGAUGCAGUGUACCCGCGGCAAGACGGAAAGACCCCGUGAACCUUUACUAUAGCUUGACACUGAACAUUGAGCCUUGAUGUGUAGGAUAGGUGGGAGGCUUAGAAGUGUGGACGCCAGUCUGCAUGGAGCCGACCUUGAAAUACCACCCUUUAAUGUUUGAUGUUCUAACGUUGACCCGUAAUCCGGGUUGCGGACAGUGUCUGGUGGGUAGUUUGACUGGGGCGGUCUCCUCCUAAAGAGUAACGGAGGAGCACGAAGGUUGGCUAAUCCUGGUCGGACAUCAGGAGGUUAGUGCAAUGGCAUAAGCCAGCUUGACUGCGAGCGUGACGGCGCGAGCAGGUGCGAAAGCAGGUCAUAGUGAUCCGGUGGUUCUGAAUGGAAGGGCCAUCGCUCAACGGAUAAAAGGUACUCCGGGGAUAACAGGCUGAUACCGCCCAAGAGUUCAUAUCGACGGCGGUGUUUGGCACCUCGAUGUCGGCUCAUCACAUCCUGGGGCUGAAGUAGGUCCCAAGGGUAUGGCUGUUCGCCAUUUAAAGUGGUACGCGAGCUGGGUUUAGAACGUCGUGAGACAGUUCGGUCCCUAUCUGCCGUGGGCGCUGGAGAACUGAGGGGGGCUGCUCCUAGUACGAGAGGACCGGAGUGGACGCAUCACUGGUGUUCGGGUUGUCAUGCCAAUGGCACUGCCCGGUAGCUAAAUGCGGAAGAGAUAAGUGCUGAAAGCAUCUAAGCACGAAACUUGCCCCGAGAUGAGUUCUCCCUGACCCUUUAAGGGUCCUGAAGGAACGUUGAAGACGACGACGUUGAUAGGCCGGGUGUGUAAGCGCAGCGAUGCGUUGAGCUAACCGGUACUAAUGAACCGUGAG